GUCAUAUAACGCGUUUGGUGAAGGAGAUUGGGAUCAUCCCACCCGUCAAAACAUAAUUAGAUGGUAUAGGACGGUUCACAAUUCAUGGUUUCAAUGCUUUGGUUAGCUAAUUACCCUUCUUGCCACCGACAAGUCAAAAAUACCGGUUCAAAGCACGCCACACAAUAGAAAGGGGAAUCAACGCGCCAACCUCCUCCUGUGGAACCCUAGGCAUAGGGUGCCGCCGCCACCACUCCCGUCUCGCUCCCGCCCCAGCAGCAAUCCUGCCGCUAUUUCGCCGGAGGGCCUGCUCCAGUACCUAGCCUGCUCCCGUUGGACUGAGAGCUCAAGCACCACCACGCCGGACGACCACCUCAUUCCGGAGCUCCUCCGGCCCGACGUGGUCUGAGAUUGCCGCCGUCGACGUCCUAUCCCAGCCGAUCGAGGAAGAUCUGCCGCAGCAGGAGCCAUACAAUUUCCCGAAGGAGAAGCCAUGCAAUUUCUCGAAGGAGCGUACAUAUCCCUACAAGUUGCCGCAGUAGCGCGCAAGUCCGGCUCCGGGCUGACCGGCGAUAGGUGGCAGUGGCGGGAAGUUCACCGGAGGCUACACCCCAAGGAUCUUGAUCUCAACGGAAAAAGGGGAAGGGCGAUGGGCACUUCCUCUUUUGUUGGUAUAUGGUAGAUCUGACGCUAUGUUUUCUCUCACUGGCCAAACGGCUCGGCGGUGACCUGGUGCUUCGUGUGGCCAGCUUAUACAGGAUUGCCUUGCCUGAACGCGUGAGGGGGGCGUUUCCCGAGGUCGCCGGCCGACGAUGCGGUUUGAAGGAGGAGCAGGGACGGGACCAGAAUAGAGCAGUUCCCGAGAACUCCACGCAGCCAGAGAUUCGCCUAGCAUGUUGACACCUCGAUGAUUAUGUGUUCAUACCUGCCAAUUCAGCUUUAGGCGUGAUGAAUCUCAGAUGCAACUGGGCGAGAAAUGCUACAGCUUAAAUCCAUGGAUUUUGAAGAUGGGUGAAUAUCAAUACCGCAAAUAUCUUGAGGGAUCACAGUCAUAUGUUGGUACUUGGCAUAACCAUCUUUCUCUUUUGCAAAAAUAAAAAUAAUCAUCAGAAAAGCUUAACUGUAUGUAAGACAAAGCUUAAGUGCACUAUCUUGCCAAAAAAAAUUACAUGGAUUAAGAAGUUGUCUUUUCAUGUCAAAGAUGGAAACUCACUUAUCAAUCAGAUGACAACAAUGAUAUAACAGCAAUGAUAUACAAUUAGUAAUGAAUUUCAAUGAUGGCGCUUCGCUAUUCUUGAUAUUUGUCCAUGCUGGUAGUGAUGGAAUGAAUUCUGCACUGUCACUUAUGGUCACACGAGACAUUAAGGUAUUUAUGUUACUCCCUGGAGAUAUAGGUGAACUGGGUGCCCUCUGUUCAUACACCCAUCAUACAAUUUAGUGUAAGUUCUAGAUAAACAAUAGCAAAUUGUUUUUGUCCCUCAAGUCUGUGUAACCUGGAUGCCUAUAUUCCUUGCGCUGCUUAACUUAAAAUCAUACUUUGGUUUACAUAUGUUUGGAUGGCAUGUAUAACAGUGUAAGUGUGUGUUCAAUGAUGCAACUCCCUUCACAUGAUUCAGUACAUGAAUGAUCUACAAUAGAGCAUAUGAUUGACUUCCGUGGCAAUGGUUCGAAGCACAUAAAGUACGCAAAGCUAUUGUCAAUCAAGCAAGAUCUACACGUUAUUGACAAAAUAUUUCAAAGAGCAAUUCUGAUUUGACUUAGCUUUGUGCAUCAUCUUACGCUCUAUUUGUCUAAUACUGAUGUACCCAAUAAAGUAAAUGCACUAAUGUAUGUUCCUUUGUUAUGCUUAAUAUAGAUGCAACUUGUAUUGGUUACAUCAGUAUUUGACUUAGCUGACUGCAAGUUACAUCUAUAUUUUCCCUUUUUUUUUAUCCAUGGGCCCGUUUAGAGAAAAUUGAUUGCUUGCCUAGCUAGACAAAUAGUGUAUUCUCUAAAAAAGGUGAGAUCUGAAGUAUACAUUUCAGAAAGUAUCAUCAUAUAGGUUUAUACUUUCCCUUUGCAGUGCUACAACAUUUUAUCUGUUACCUAGACUAAAGCACUGUUGUACAAAGUUAAGAGGUGAAGUAUGUUCAGAAAUUAUCAACCAAUAGUAGUGUACAUAAAUUGUUUAUUUGUAGGAAAUGAAUUCUGGGUAUGUGGAAUGCGAAGUUCUAUGAAGAAAGAUGUAAUUAUAUGAUCACGUCUGAAUGUUUAGUACCUCAUUUUAUGACUUCAGUUUUGGAAAAUUGAUACACUUUCCUUUUUUUUGGACUACCUUCUACAACAUAAACACUAGGUUUUCUUAUUUUGGUAGGUAUCUUAUCCACCGAAGAAGUCAUGGACAUACCUUAUGUGAUAAACAAAUAUAUGAUAUGUCUGUUUCUUGGUAGAUCAAAGUGUGCCCAGGCUCUGAAAAUUUCAUAGGUCUGCUGUCCCCUGCUGAUACUUAUGAUAUUCAGUAUUAUGAGAUCAUCACACAUGUCCGGAUACCACUUUGUUGAGUUUCAGCUCGUGUCAUGACUCUCAUUUCUUGUCCUUAACCUGUUGAAAUAAAUGCCAAUUUUGGGCAAGUAAAGCUGUGAUGAAAUUUAAUCCGCUGUUGAUGAAGCUUUGGCGCUAUUAUCGUCCCCAAUUCAGAGAUAUGAUACUAUAGGACUUCAGAUAUUUCAUACUAUAUAGGAUUAGCAAAUUAGCAAAGUUCUUGAUUGAAAAGCUUGCGUCUAGAUUCUUAGUUCUGUUCAUGCACACAGUUUGUUAGAUGUUUUAUCUACAACAGAUCCUUUCAUCAAUGAAGUAACCGACAAAAUGCAGGUCUCUAAGGUUAGUUUAGUUAUUAUUUUGAUUUAAAUGAAGGAAUAUACGAUAGAGUGUAGAAGCAUAAGAAUUUUCAAUCAAGUUCUAAAGCCUUCAUCUAUAUCCCUGUUUUUACCUGCUGGGUUCAGUAAGAUGGUGACACACAGUAGAUCUUGGUGCUCGGCAGGUUGCAACGAGUAUUCUUUUAUGGUCAACAAAGAUACCCAUGGUCAGAAUUUAUAUGUGUCAUUAGUUUUCUAUUUGACACAAAUUUAGAGUUGCAUGCAUGUUCAAUUUUUUUUCACUUGACUUCUUAUUCAGAGUUAGCCUAAACUUUCUGAAACAAUUUUGAAGAAAAAAAAAUGUGUAUGUCAACUACUACAUUUUUUAAUUCUUCUCUCAGCUGGACAACAAGGGUAACAAAUUUCUGUUGCUGCCUUUUUUUCUGCAGUUAACUUUGUUCCAUAGGAGCAUGGAAACAAUGAUUGUUGAUCAUGGAGAAGUCGAUCCUUGAAAUUCAAGGGAUGCCAAAUGUGUGUUAGCGAGGAGGCAUCCACGCCUGGUCAAGAAGUUGUGGUAUCUGGUUGUCUUAUCGCCAAUGCGAUGACCACCGUCUGGUGGUCACUCAGGCCCGUCCUAGGACAUGCUUGCCGCAGCACGCAACACCUAAUGGGAGCACGACCGCUACAUGAUACACAAAUCCAACCAUGGUGGAAUUCGGCCAAGGGUCUUACUGAGGGUGAACAAAGACUCCACGUGUAAAUCUUUUUUUCAUCCGCGUACUUACGAUGUCAGCUAUAUACUUUACUUAUUAAGCGAGAUACAUGAUGAUUGUGGAUACGUUUCUAGCCUUGUGGUUGUGGAUUCAUUUGGCCUCAAGUGGAAUGUUUCGAUGACAAA